UACGGAGGUGGCAAGCGUUGCUCGGAAUCACUGGGCGUAAAGGGCGUGUAGGCGGUCUUGCAAGUCAGGGGUGAAAUCCCUCGGCUCAACCGGGGAACUGCGUGUGAUACUGGCGGGCUUGAAUUCGGGAGAGGGAUGUGGAAUUCCAGGUGUAGCGGUGAAAUGCGUAGAUAUCAAGAGGAACACCUGCGGCGAAGGCGGGUUGCUGGGCCGACACUGACGCUGAGGCGCGAAAGCCAGGGGAGCGAACGGG
rnacentral:rRNA from 1 species